ensembl:lncRNA
AGAUGUGGUUCCAACUCUUUGAAAACAUAACCCAUGAUGUUGAAACAGACUACUGUAAAGCCCUUCCCUGGGUUGGUACUCACCUGGACCAUCACUCACAUCCUUCUCCCAGAUGUUGCUUCCACUCCUUUGUCUUCAAAUGCAACCUGGAUCUAGGUGAGAGCUGCAGACCUGUCUCUUCUCCUCAGUGCAUGGACAAAGCACAGCACACAGUAGAUGUUCAUGGCAGGAUGCUGAUGGUUCAUUUUUACUGA